rnacentral:rRNA from 1 species
UACGUAGGUGGCAAGCGUUAUCCAGAAUUAUUGGACGUAAAGAGCGCGCAGGUGGUUGAUUAAGUCUGAUGUGAAAGCCCACGGCUUAACCGUGGAGGGUCAUUGGAAACUGGUCGACUUGAGUGCAGAAGAGGGAAGUGGAAUUCCAUGUGUAGCGGUGAAAUGCGUAGAGAUAUGGAGGAACACCAGUGGCGAAGGCGGCUUCCUGGUCUGUAACUGACACUGAGGCGCGAAGGCGUGGGGAGCAAACAGGAUUAGA